UACAGAGGAGCCAAGCGUUGUCCGGAUUGACUGGGCGUAAAGCGCACGCAGGCGGGGGCGCGCGUGGGGGGGGAAAUCUGGCCGCUUAACGGCCAGGCGCCAUCCCAUACGGCACGCCUGGAGCCUUGCAGAGGUCGGUGGAAUUGCCGGUGUAGUGGUGAAAUGCGUAGAGAUCGGCAGGAACACCCAGGGGGAAACCAGCCGACUGGGCAAGUGCUGACGCUGAGGUGCGAGAGCGUGGGGAGCGAACCGG
rnacentral:rRNA from 1 species